rnacentral:lncRNA from 1 species
AUGGGAAAGACUAGAGAUCUCUUCAAGAAAAUUAGAGAUACCAAGGGAACAUUUCAUGCAAAGAUGGGCACAAUAAAGGACAGAAAUGGUAUGGACCUAACAGAAGCAAAAGAUAUUACGAAGUGGUGGCAAGAAUACACAGAAGAACUGUACAAAAAAGAUCUUCAUGACGCAGAUAACCACAAUGGUGUGAUCACUCACCUAGAGCCAGACAUCUUGGAAUGUGAAGUCAAGUGGGCCUUAGAAAGCAUCACUACGAACAAAGCUAGUGGAGGUGAUGGAAUUCCAGUUGAGCUGUUUCAAAUCCUAAAAGAUGAUGCUGUGAAAGUGCUGCACUCAAUAUGCCAGCAAAUUUGGAAAACUCAGCAGUGGCCACAGGACUGGAAAGGGUCAGUUUUCAUUCCAAUCCCAAAGAAAGGCAAUGCCAAAGAAUGCUCAAACUACCACACAAUUGCACUCAUCUCACACACUAGCAAAGUCAUGCUCAAAAUUCUCCAAGCCAGGCUUCAAGAGUACGUGAACCAUGAACUUCCAAAUGUUCAAGCUGGAUUUAGAAAAGGCAGAAGAACCAGAGAUCAAAUUGCCAACAUCCACUGGAUCAUGGAAAAAGCAAGAGAGUUCCAGAAAAACAUCUAUUUCUGCUUUAUUGACUACACCAAGGCCUUUGACUGUGUGGAUCACAACAAACUGUGGAAAAUUCUUCAAGAGAUGGGAAUACCAGACCACCUGACCUGCCUUUUGAGAAAUCUGUAUGCAGGUCAGGAAGCAACAGUUAGAACUGGACAUGGAACAACAGACUGCUUCCAAAUAGGGAAAGGAGUACAUCAAGGCUGUAUAUUGUCACCCUGCUUAUUUAACUUAUAUGCAGAUUAUGUCACGAGAAAUGCUAGGCUGGAUGAAGCACAAGCUGGAAUUAAGAUUGCUGGGAGAAAUAUCAAUAACCUCAGAUAUGCAGAUGACACCACCCUCACGGCAGAAAGCAGAGAAGAACUAAAGAGCCUCUUGAUGAAAGUGAAAGAAGAGAGUGAAAAAGUUGGCUUAAACCUCAACGUUCAGAAAACUAAGGUCAUGGCAUCUGGUCCCAUCACUUCAUGGCAAACAGAUGGGGAAACAGUGGAAACAGUGGCUGACUUUAUUUUUGGGGGCUCCAAAAUCACUGCAGAUGGUGAUUGCAGCCAUGAAAUUAAAAGACACUUACUCCUUGGAAGAAAAGCUAUGACCAACCUAGAUAGUAUAUUCAAAAGCAGAGACAUUACUUUGCCGACUAAGGUCUGUCUAGUCAAACCUAUGGUUUUUCCAGUAGUCAUGUAUAGAUGUGAGAGUUGGACUGUGAAGAAAGCCGAGCACUGGAGAAUUGAUGCUUUUGAACUGUGGUGCUGGAGAAGACUCUUGAGAGUCCCUUGGACUGCAAGGAGAUCCAACCAGUCCAUCCUAAAGGAAAACAGUCCUGAAUAUUCAUUGGAAGGACUGAUGCUGAAGCUGAAACUCCAAUACUUUAAUCACCUGAUGCGAAGAACUGACUCAUUUGUAAAGGCCCUGAUGCUGGGAAAGAUUGAAGGCAGGAGGAGAAGGGGACAACAGAGGAUGAAAUGGUUGGAUGCCAUCACUGAUUCGAUGGACAUGAGUUUGAGCAAGCUCCAGGAGUUGGUGAUGGACUGGGAGGCCUGGCACACUGCAGUCCAUGGGGUUGCAAAGAGUCGGACACGACUGAGCGACUGA